rnacentral:rRNA from 1 species
UAGGGAAUCUUCCACAAUGGGCGCAAGCCUGAUGGAGCAACACCGCGUGAGUGAAGAAGGGUUUCGGCUCGUAAAGCUCUGUUGUUAAAGAAGAACACGUAUGAGAGUAACUGUUCAUACGUUGACGGUAUUUUAACCAGAAAGUCACGGCUAACUACGUGCCAG